ACAAAUGCAGUCCGAUCUUUACCAUGGCCUUGGGAGGUUUCUGUUUUCCUGUGGGGAUUGCCUGAAGUCUCUGCUUUAUGCUACAGGCUGGAAUUUGUGUCUUCAACAAAGGCAAGUCUCAGACUCCUGGAAAAAGAUUAUCUGAACGUUUGAUACAUCCAAGUACAGGUUCUUGGUGCAGGUUUCUGAGCUAUUGCUGCUUAGACAAUUUCCAGACUGCUUUGAUGACUAAAUCAGGAUUUCCAGGACUCCUUUCAGUGGGAAGCAGACAUACUUCAUGAAAGCAGACCAUUCACUCCCAAUAUCCACCAGAACAUGAGUAUGUUACAUACCACAUACUAAACUAACAAAAAAAUCAUAUCGUAUUUGCUUGUUUAAACAAAAUACAGUUAGCAGUGCUCUUUAAUAACAUUCAUGGAUACAUAAAGAAGUCUUUCCUCCUUGUUCUUUACCAGUCUCUAAGUAUCAAUUUAGUAGGCUACGCAUUGGUAAACUGAAAUCAAACAUUUUUAAGUCGUGUUAUGUCUUACUAUCUCUUAGAAUUCAGAAGCAAAUACUUUUACUGAGCUUCAGAAGAAUUUAUUCUCCUUUGUAACAAGACACAAUUGGACAAAUGAAUUCUGCAUAUCCCAAAUCACACAGGACUGUUAUGUUUGAGAAUGAUUCUCAUUUAAUCAGGUCUGACAAGCCCAGUAAUUAAGGAAUAAGGAUUGGCUUUAUUUGAGGAGCCAUUGCCUUAAAAUUCUUCUAAAAACAGGGGCCUGGCUAAGUUCCCAAGUUAUAAAGGAACCACUUCCUAGAAGGUCAAGGACUUCAGAAGAAUUUUCAGACUUCAAGAGAAAUUAUUCACAUGCAUAAGUACUGUGAGUGAAAUUUGGUGGAAUGAAUGCCUUGGGCUUGGUUUCCUGGUCUCAGGAUAGAAAAGUAAAUGAGAAAGGCUAUUUCAAAUCCGGUCAAGAUUUCUUGUGAAGUUUUCCAAAUAGAAGUAAAUUUUUUUGGCAGUUGUCUUUGCUCAAUACUGUAGGGUCUAGAUUUUCAGGGUAAAUUCAAGGAGGGUUAUAUGGUUAGUUUACACUCUUGCUCCAGCCCAAAUACAACAAGAUCAGCUUUUUGUGGUCAGAAGCAAGCUUUGAAGAUUUUUUUGUAAUCACAGGAGCAGAGUAGACAGGGGAGAGUUU